UUAAUACUCCCUUCGUCCAGAAAUACUUGUCAUCAAUUGAAAUGAAUAAAAGAUGUUGUAUCUAGAUGUAUUUUAGUUCUACAUACAUCUCUUUUUGUCUAUUUUGAUGAUAAGUAUUUUCGGACGGAGGGAGUAGUAU
rfam:Triticum aestivum genome assembly, contig: Triticum_aestivum_CS42_TGACv1_scaffold_577036_7BL